rnacentral:lncRNA from 1 species
GCGGGGACCGACCCUGCAGGGCGCCCCCCGCGCCCCCCCCCCGCGCUCCCCCCCCCCCCCGAGCUUCACGGUUGCGGCCGCGCCCAGGCGGCGCCCAGGCCGCGGCAGGCGGGCGCGGAGGGGAAAGCCCGGCGAGGACGGCAGGCGGGGCGCGCGCCCAGGCCGUGCGUCACCCCGCGGCCGCCGCUGACUUAUUUUGGACGCGGCCGCUCGCGUGAGUCACGCCCAGGGCGCCCCGCAGGCCCGCGGGCCCCGGCGCACACCUGCGCUCGCGGCAAACCCGACCGAGAGCCGCGGCCGCGAGACCCGGCCUCCCGCCGCGCGCCCCGCCCCUGCGGCUGCCCCGGGACCCGGCGCGGGAGCAGCGCGCCCCGCGGGGACCGACUCGGACGAACCGCGGACCCGCUCGCGGACACCCGGACGGCGCCCGCCGCCCUCGGCAGCGGGGCGCAAGGGGGCGCGAGGGGGCGCGGCGUGUGACGUGGGGGCGCGGCGUGCGGCGGGGGCGUGGCGUGCGGCGGGGGGCGUGGCGUGCGGCGAGGGGGCGUGGCAGGGCGCUGUGCGCGCGCGACGGAGCGGUGCGUGGCGCGAUGGGGCGUGGCGUUGCGGGUUGCGGGGCGCGGUGCGGCGCAGGGGCGGCUGCGGGGGCCGGCGGCGUCCUGGCCUGCGGGGUGAGGGCCGUGCGGGUGGAGCCGCCCGCCGUGGGGGCUUGGUCGUGGGAGGACGGGGGCGGUCGCGGUCGGCGGGGGAGAGACGAUGUGGGCGGGGCGGCGGCGGCGGAAGCAGGGGAGGACGGCGGGGGCGGGGGCGGGGGCGUCUCCGGGGAGUCAGGCCCUCCGAGGAGGCUUCCUCUGGGCGGAAAGACCAAGGAGACUCCGCGGGGGAUCCCCCCUCUUCACCCCGACCGGGGACCGGCUCGCGGUUGCACGGGCCCCGGCCCAAGGUGCGGUUGCUAUAGCAACCAGCCGGGGUGACCGAGUGGUCCAGGGUGAAGGCGCCCGGCACAGCCCCUUUCCGGCCAGGCCCAGGCAUGCCCGUCCCUGCAAGGCAGACACCUCGAUGGGACCCUACCUCCCUGCAGCCUCGCGGUGGAACAGCUGUUUGACGCAUUCAGAAGAAAGGAUGACAGCCCUACAGAGGAACACGAUGUGAAUGGAAGAGACCUGUCAUU